rnacentral:rRNA from 1 species
GACGAACGCUGGCGGCGUGCCUAAUACAUGCAAGUUGAGCGCUGAAGGUUGGUACUUGUACCAACUGGAUGAGCAGCGAACGGGUGAGUAACGCGUGGGGAAUCUGCCUUUGAGCGGGGGACAACAUUUGGAAACGAAUGCUAAUACCGCAUAAAAACUUUAAACACAAGUUUUAAGUUUGAAAGAUGCAAUUGCAUCACUCAAAGAUGAUCCCGCGUUGUAUUAGCUAGUUGGUGAGGUAAAGGCUCACCAAGGCGAUGAUACAUAGCCGACCUGAGAGGGUGAUCGGCCACAUUGGGACUGAGACACGGCCCAAACUCCUACGGGAGGCAGCAGUAGGGAAUCUUCGGCAAUGGACGAAAGUCUGACCGAGCAACGCCGCGGGAGUGAAGAAGGGUCUCGGAUCGUAAAACUCUGUUGGUAGAGAAGAACGUUGGUGAGAGUGGAAAGCUCAUCAAGUGACGGUAACUACACAGAAAGGGACGGCUAACUACGUG